AUACGUAGGGUGCAAGCGUUAAUCGGAAUUACUGGGCGUAAAGCGUGCGCAGGCGGUUAUGUAAGACAGAGGUGAAAUCCCCGGGCUCAACCUGGGAACGGCCUUUGUGACUGCAUAGCUAGAGUACGGUAGAGGGGGAUGGAAUUCCGCGUGUAGCAGUGAAAUGCGUAGAUAUGCGGAGGAACACCGAUGGCGAAGGCAAUCCCCUGGACCUGUACUGACGCUCAUGCACGAAAGCGUGGGGAGCAAACAGGAUUAGAUACCCUGGUAGUCCACGCCCUAAACGAUGUCAACUGGUUGUUGGGAAUUAACUUUCUCAGUAACGAAGCUAACGCGUGAAGUUGACCGCCUGGGGAGUACGGCCGCAAGGUUGAA
rnacentral:rRNA from 1 species